UACGGAGGGUGCAAGCGUUGUUCGGAUUUAUUGGGCGUAAAGCGCGUGUAGGCGGUUUCUUAAGUCUGAUGUGAAAGCCCCGGGCUCAACCCGGGAAGUGCAUUGGAUACUGGGAGACUUGAAUACGGGAGAGGGUAGUGGAAUUCCUAGUGUAGGAGUGAAAUCCGUAGAUAUCGAGAGGAACACCGGUGGCGAAGGCGGCUAUCUGGACAGUGACUGACGCUGAGACGCGAAAGCGUGGGGAGCAAACAGG
rnacentral:rRNA from 1 species